GUUCAAUUUAAUAUUAACUAAACUGGAAUGCUUUUACAUAUCAUUUGUUUUAGGCUAUAAUUUUGCUCAUUCAGGUGCAUUGCAUUCAUUCUGUUUUAGAUUGUGGAGAGGUGGGAGCCACCUCAGAGCAGCUUCCACCUUGAGUGAGGAAGUGGAACAGAUUGCUAUCACUUUUUUCAUUUUGCAAAUAAGAGCAGGAGACAUUGUGAUGAUGAACUUGAGGCUGAAGAACUCUAGAAAAAAAUUGUAGCCAGUUUUCGUAUGGUAUGCAAAAC
ensembl:lncRNA